rnacentral:rRNA from 1 species
UACGUAGGGGGCAAGCGUUGUCCGGAUUUAUUGGGCGUAAAGCGCCCGCAGGCGGUGCAACAAGUUGCGAGUGACAGGUGGUGGCUUAACUGCCACAGGGCUUGGAAAACUGUUGCACUUGAGGGCUUGAGAGGGACGCGGAAUUCCUGGUGUAGCGGUGAAAUGCGCAGAUAUCAGGAAGAACACCCGUGGCGAAGGCGGUUCUCUGGGACGGUACUGACGCUGAGACGCGAAAGCGUGGGGAGCGAACAGG